rnacentral:rRNA from 1 species
GAUGAACGCUAGCUACAGGCUUAACACAUGCAAGUCGAGGGGCAGCGCAGUGUAGCAAUACAUGGGCGGCGACCGGCGCACGGGUGCGUAACGCGUAUCCAACCUUCCCGUUACUCAGGGAUAGCCUUCCGAAAGGGAGAUUAAUACCUGAUGGUGUUUGAAUUCCGCAUGUUAUUCAAACUAAAGAUUUAUCGGUAACGGAUGGGGAUGCGUGACAUUAGGUAGUUGGGGGUGUAACGGACCACCAAGCCGACGAUGUCUAGGGGUUCUGAGAGGAAGGUCCCCCACACUGGUACUGAGACACGGACCAGACUCCUACGGGAGGCAGCAGUGAGGAAUAUUGGUCAAUGGGCGAGAGCCUGAACCAGCCAAGUCGCGUGAGGGACGACGGUACUAAGUAUUGUAAACCUCUUUUGUCAGGGAACAAAGAGACCACGUGUGGUAAGAUGAGUGUACCUGAAGAAAAAGCAUCGGCUAACUCCGUG